rnacentral:rRNA from 1 species
UACGAAGGGGGCUAGCGUUGCUCGGAAUCACUGGGCGUAAAGCGCACGUAGGCGGACUUUUAAGUCAGGGGUGAAAUCCUGGAGCUCAACUCCAGAACUGCCUUUGAUACUGGAAGUCUUGAGUUCGAGAGAGGUGAGUGGAACUGCGAGUGUAGAGGUGAAAUUCGUAGAUAUUCGCAAGAACACCAGUGGCGAAGGCGGCUCACUGGCUCGAUACUGACGCUGAGGUGCGAAAGCGUGGGGAGCAAACAGG